CACGUAGGGCGCGAGCGUUGUCCGGAUUUAUUGGGCGUAAAGAGCUCGUAGGCGGCUUGUCGCGUCGUCCGUGAAAACCCACAGCUCAACUGUGGGCUUGCGGUCGAUACGGGCAGGCUAGAGUUCGGUAGGGGAGACUGGAAUUCCUGGUGUAGCGGUGAAAUGCGCAGAUAUCAGGAGGAACACCGGUGGCGAAGGCGGGUCUCUGGGCCGAUACUGACGCUGAGGAGCGAAAGCGUGGGGAGCGAACAGG
rnacentral:rRNA from 1 species